CUGGUGGGAAGGAUCCGAGAUGGCGGCAGCCAGCGCUGGGGCAGCCCGGCUGCUCCUGCUCUUGCUGAUGGCGGUAGCAGCGCCCAGUCGAGCCCGGGGCAGCGGUUGCCGGGCCGGGACUGGUGCGCGAGGGGCUGGGGUGGAAGGUCGAGAGGGCGAGGCCUGUGGCACGGUGGGGCUGCUGCUGGAGCACUCAUUUGAGAUCGAUGACAGUGCCAACUUCCGGAAGCGGGGCUCACUGCUCUGGAACCAGCAGGAUGCUACCUUGUCCCUGUCACAGCGGCAGCUCAGCGAGGAGGAGCGGGGCCGACUCCGGGAUGUGGCAGCCCUGAAUGGCCUGUACCGGGUCCGGGUCCCAAGGCGACCUGGGGCCCUGGAUGGCCCGGAAGCUGGUGGCUACGUCUCCUCCUUUGUCCCUGCGUGCUCCCUGGUGGAGUCGCACCUGUCGGACCAGCUGACCCUGCACGUGGAUGUGGCCAGCAACGUGGUGGGUGUGUCGGUGGUGACGCAUCCUGGGGGCUGCCGGGGCCAUGAGGUAGAGGACGUGGACCUGGAGCUGUUCAACACCUCGGUGCAGCUGCAGCCACCCGCCACAGCCCCGGGCCCUGAGACGGCGGCCUUCAUCGAGCGCCUGGAGAUGGAACAGGCCCAGAAGGCCAAGAACCCCCAGGAGCAGAAGUCCUUCUUCGCCAAAUACUCCCAGUUGCAUUUCCAUGGGAGCCGAUCCACCCACUCAUAGAAUGACUUGAAAAUGUGUGAAGUUCAGAAGUUUCAUACCAAGAAGUUUGCUGAUAUCCACUGUUCCUCCCCCAGGCAUUCUGGUCACUGUUCCUUUUUGUUGGGAUCAUUCUUGGUGUCUCAUACAGCUGGGUUGCAGCUCCGUUCUUUGCCAGGAGGUGGUGAUAGAGGAUUCCACGCACUCAGAAUGUCUCAGGCCGGCGCCUGUGGCUUUUCUCAAUGGAGGGAAGUGUCCUGCAGGGGGCGCCGUUGGUCCUUCAGGCAAGGUCGGGUUCCCUGGAAGUCUCUGUCUUAGCAGUUGCUGGUCUUCAGAAACAUUGGGCACCGAUUUUCUCAUCUCUGAAAUGGAAUUCAAGUGAGGUCCCCUCAGUGCUGAGGUGCUUCAUGUUGUCAGAGGAGGAAUUGGGGAGGGAGCAGAAUGGAGCAGAAAGGCGUCAUCCCCUGCUCACUGAGCUCAGAUAGGAGGCCAGGGAUCAGCAGAUUCAGGAGCCCAUUCCUGGCCAACCCCAGGGGACCCACCCAGUCCUGUCCCUGCUCCUUACAUGCUGUGUGUCUUUAGGCAAGUUGCUUCCUGUCUCUGAGUAUCUUCUUUGUUUCCGCCUUCCUGGGCCUAGGGCAGGCCUGAUUCCUCCAGGCAGUGUCCAGAGUUCCGGACAGAUGGAAAAGAAAGAGAGAAUAGGUGUCACAAAGGUCCAUCCACUCCUGGGCCUCAGGCUUGGGGGCCCUGCUCAGGGCUAGCCUGUUUGGGUCUCAGUAUGAACUCCUGCCUCCUGCUCAGGACCUGGGAGCAGGCAAGGCAGGAACAGGAGAGGGAGGCAAAGGCCCACCAGGCAGGGAUGCAGGGGCCACCUGGAGACGGAGGAGAUGGGCUCCUGGGAGGGAGGCCAGUGGGAGUGAGAGCUCAGAGGAGAGAGAGGGAGAGAGAGCCAGGAGAGGAGACAGGUCCAGAGAGGAGGGAAAGGAAAGGACAGGGCAGAGACAGAGGAACAAGAGAGAGGGAAGGAAGAGAGACCCAAGGGGGAGAGACAGGGAAGGAAGAGGGAGGUGAGCAGAGGAAGAGGCAGAUUCAGAGGAGAGAAAAGAGGUGGAAAUCAAACAGGAGAAAGGGGGAGGAAAGGAGGGAGGAGAGAGUGCAGGAAAAAAGCAGGAGGAAAGAGCCAGACGCGGUGGCUCACGCCUGUAAUCCCAGCACUUUGGGAGGCCGAGGCAGGCAGAUCACGAGGUCAGGAGAUCGAGACCAUCCUGGCUAACAUGGUGAAAACCUGUCUCUACUAAAAAUACAAAAAAACAAAAAAAAAAAACAAAAACUGGGCGUAGUGGCGGGCGCCUGUAGUCCCAGCUACUCGGGAGGCUGAGGCAGGAGAAUGGUGUGAACCCGGGAGGCAGAGCUUGCAGUGAGCCGAGAUCGUGCCACUGCACUCCAGCCUGGGCGACAGAGUGAGACUCCGUCUCAAAAAAAUAAAAAAAGAAAGAAAGGAUGGCCAAAGCGGGGGGGGAGAGACGAAGAGGGAGAAAGAAGGAAACAGAGUAGGGGGUCAGAAGUGGAAAGAGAAGAAAAAAACAAGGGCAAAGGAAGAUGAGGGGGUGAAAAAAGGGACAGGAAGGAAGAGAGGGAGAGGAUGAGUGCCAUGGCUGGUGAGCUCGGAGAAGAGGGAGGCAGAGAAACUGGUGAAGGAGGGAGCGUCCUAGGGAGAAGCGGGUAGGGGAGAGGGGCCGACUGCCCAGGGAGAGGGAGGGAUGGAGGAGCGGGGAGCUCCAGCCAGAGAAGAAGAAAGAGAGAAAGGAGAGAGCCAGGAACUGGGAAGGAAAAGAGAGCUAGGAGACCGUGAGACGGAAAGAGAAGAGGGUGUAGAGAGAGGAAUAGUGGCUGGGAGGAGAGAAAGGGGAUGGAGAGAGGAGGAGGGAGGAGCACAGAGGGAGAGGAGAGGAAACGGCCAGAGAAUCUGCUAGAAGGGAGAGAAGAGAGAGAAGAGCCAGACGGGGAGACCAGAAGUGAGAAAAAGGAGGGUGGCCGCAGAGAGGACAACGAGGAAAAGAGAACAGGAAGAGGGGAAAAGAGAACAGGAAGAGGGGAAAAGAGAAGAAAUGGGAGAGGGAAGAAGGGUGGGAGAGAAAACGGAACAGAGAGGGGGCAGAGACAGCGGACUGGACCGAGAGGGAGACGGAGCGGUGCGGAGGGGGAGACAGAAAGAGGGAGGGAAGGAGGGUAGGAGAGGGCUGGAGAUAGGGGAAAAGAGAAAAGGAGGGUAGGAGAGGGCUGGAGAGAGGAGGGAAGUUAAGAAGGGAAGGAGAGAGACAGACAUUAGGGAAGAAGGAAAGGAGAAAGGAAAAAAUACAAAAAAGGGCAGAGAGAAAAGAACAGGCCGGGCAUGGUGCCUCGCACCUGUGGUCCCAGCACUUUGAGAGGCUGAGGCAGGAGGAUCACUGGAGCCUGGGAGGUGGAGGCUGCACUACUGCACUCCAGCGGGUGAGUGAGCUAGAAAAAAAGAGCAGAAAGGAAAGAAGAGGUGCAUGAGUGUGGAAGAGCAAUAUGGAGAGAAAGAAGGGAGAGAGGAUUGGAAGUAGUAGGGGACAGAGGACCAUACCGCUCCAGCUGAGGAGGGGGCACCCCUAAGACAGCGUCAGCCCAGAGACUGGGACAGGAAGCAGGAAUGUGAAGCAGAGGUUAGGAGCCAGUGCGAGGCAGGGAGAGGGCCAGGUAGCUGGGAGGCAGGGGUGUCGUGGGCACAGCCCAGGCUACUGCAGGGACAGGCUGCCAGACCCGGUGGGUCCAGGUUGGGAACUCGGCCAUGCAGCAGAAACGUUCCCUCACAGAGACAUUCCCUGCCUCAACAGGGCGCGGCCACCCUGGGGCCAUCUCUGUGACCCAGGGAGAGAAAGGACAACGAAUGGGACUAGACAAGGAUGGGGAGUAAUGGAGCAGCUGUGGAAGGUGCGGCAGAGAAGGGCCCAGGAGAAAGGAGGAAGGGAAGGAGCUGGGAGGGCGGGAGAACAGGAGACAGAAUAGGACAGAGACAGCUGCCCGGAAGGAUGGGAGAACAGAAAGGGAGGAAACGCCGAGCACUGACCUGGGGGAUGAGAGUAAAGAGAAGUGAAGAGGGAUUGGAAGGGAACUGGAGAAUGAGAGAAGCAAAGGCGGGGUGCGUGUAGGAGGGCGGGAGAGCCAAUGACAAGACAGAAAAGGCACAGAAAGCAAAGCAAGACUGGACUCCUCAUCCGGUAACACUGCGUCAGGUCAUCGCUCUCCCACCCUGCCCCCACCCCCAUAACUGAAAACAAGUAGGAACCUAGAUAAAAUAUUCUUAACCAUUUUUUUUUGAGACGGAAUCUUGCUGUGUUGCCCAGGCUAGAGUGCAGUGGCGCGAUCUCGGCUCACUGCAAACUCCGCCUCCCGGGU